rnacentral:tRNA from 1 species
GAAGGUUUUAAAAUUUUAGUCUGCAAAUCUAAAUAAGCAAACAAAGCAAAAACCUA